ACACGAACUGUGCAAACGUUAUUCGGAAUCACUGGGCUUAAAGGGUGCGUAGGCGGUCAUGUUGGUCAGAUGUGAAAUCCCACGGCUCAACCGUGGAAUUGCGUUUGAAACCACAUGACUUGAGUAAGAUAGAGGUAAGCGGAACUGAUGGUGGAGCGGUGAAAUGCGUUGAUAUCAUCAGGAACACCGGUGGCGAAAGCGGCUUACUGGGUCUUUACUGACGCUGAGGUACGAAAGCUAGGGGAGCGAACGGGAUUAGAAACCCCAGUAGUCC
rnacentral:rRNA from 1 species